UUGUACAGAGCAGUGCGUGAUUCACAGCUCAUAGGAAUGUCAGGUUACUCAAGAGAGGGGCUUCCAGUCUUCGCUAUCGGCGUUGGGCUCAGCACAUUUGAUAAAGCAUCUGUCCACUACUAUGUUCAAUCACACAUUCAAAUAAAUGAAUAUCGGGACCGUAUAAUUCUGCCUUCUGCUUCAAAAAAAUAUGGGCGACCAAUAACCACCUGUGUGAAGGUUUUGGAUAUGACUGGUUUGAAGCUGUCAGCACUUAGCCAAAUAAAGUUGCUGACAAUCAUAUCAACUGUUGAUGACUUGAAUUAUCCUGAGAAAACAAAAACAUAUUACAUUGUAAAUGCCCCAUAUAUAUUUUCAGCAUGUUGGAAGGUAGUCAAGCCCCUACUGCAAGAGAGGACAAGGAAAAAAGUUCAGGUGUUACCAGGUAAU
rnacentral:misc_RNA from 1 species